rnacentral:rRNA from 1 species
AUUGAACGCUGGCGGCAGGCUUAACACAUGCAAGUCGAACGAGUGGCGGACGGGUGAGUAAUGCUUGGGAAUCUAGCUUAUGGAGGGGGAUAACUACGGGAACCUGUAGCUAAUACCGCGUACCAUAGGAUGAGCCCAUGUGGGAUUAGGUAGUUGUUGAGGUAAAGGCUCACCAAGCCGACGAUCUCUAGCUGGGUUGAGAGGAUGACCAGCCACACUGCGACUUGGACACGGCCCAGACUCCUACGGGAGGCAGCAGGGGGGAAUAUUGGGCAAUGGGGGCAUCCUGACGCAGCCAUGCCGCGUGAAUGAAGAAGGCCUGCGGGUUGUAAAGUUGUUUCGGUAGCGAGGCGUUAACUACAGAAGAAGCACCGGCUAACUCCGUGCCAGCAGCCGCGGUAAUUC